rnacentral:rRNA from 1 species
AGCGAACGCUGGCGGCAGGCUUAACACAUGCAAGUCGAGCGGGCAUCCUUGUGGUGUCAGCGGCAGACGGGUGAGUAACGCGUGUGAACGUGCCCUUCGGUUCGGAAUAACUCAGGGAAACUUGAGCUAAUACCGGAUACGUGCGAGAGCAGAAAGGUUUAUCUGCCGAAGUAGCGGCCCGCGUCUGAUUAGCUAGUUGGUUAGGUUAUGGCUCACCAAGGCGACAAUCAGUAGCUGGUCUGAGAGGAUGAUCAGCCACACUGGCACUGAGACGCAGCACAGAAUCCUACGGGAGGCAGGAGUGGGGAAUAGUGGAAAACCGGGGCAACCCUGAUCCAGCCAGGCCCGGUGAGUGAUGUCGGCCUUAGGGUUGUAAAGCGCUUUUCUCCGGGACGAUAAUGACGGUACCGGAGGAAUAAGCCCCGGCUAACUUCGUG